rnacentral:rRNA from 1 species
UACGUAUGGAGCGAGCGUUAUCCGGAUUUAUUGGGCGUAAAGCGCGCGUAGGCGGCCUUUCAAGCAGGAUUUUAAACCUAAGGGCUCAACCCCCAGUCGGAUCCUGAACUGUUAGGCUCGAGUUUGGUAGAGGAAGACGGAAUUCCCAGUGUAGCGGUGGAAUGCGCAGAUAUUGGGAAGAACACCGAUGGCGAAGGCAGUCUUCUGGGCCAUAACUGACGCUGAGGUGCGAAAGCUAGGGGAGCAAACAGGAUUAGAUACCCGUGUAGU